UUUAUAUUCAAGGGUACAAUAAUAUGGACCUCUCCUUAUUUCGAAUUUUUUGUUUCACUAAAUUCUAUUUUCUUUGUAACAGCGAUCUCCAGGUCGCGGAUAUACAAAAGAAAAAGUGUAGACUUUUUCUUGAAGUAAUUACUUCAACAAUAGUCCCCGUAAUACUUCUAGCUAAGAGAAUUCAGAUUUCAAGAAUAAUUUGCGUCGGAUAACAUUUCUCUUUUCCAUGAAGUGGUGAGCGAGUUACACGAAUGGAAUGGUCUCGAAGGAAUAGAAAAAAUGAAUUCGAAAGUGGUGGCAAUAGACGGCGAGACACUUUUUACUGGUGGAAAUGCCGCAGACAUGAUCCUGCUGUCGGGGGACGGAGAGGGGCGGUUCGUGGUAACGAACCAUCGAGAGCAGCUUCUUUUUACCUCGACAAUCAGGUCAUUGGGCCUGCAACACCACUGGGAAUAGCCGAAUGCCGUGAACCACUCGAAUCGCUCCUUCAGCAAUCCAUUUCUCGGCUCUUUCCUUUCUAACGACAGCCAGCUGCAGUAUCGACGUCAGUACUACGAAAAAUGACGUCACCAGACGCAUCGAAAUAUAUAUCUGAUUUUGGCAUGUGUCAUGUAUGUUUGUCAUCGUAUUGCUGUGGACCUAAGAAUAUCGAUCAAUAUCGGUUUUAUUCUAGCGAAAUAAGGGAGUUUUUCAAGAUAUACAAAAAGCAAGUAUCUCUUUGGGAAUACAUGUACAUCUGGCUGCUAUUCAGUUGGUUGUUUAUAUUCUUUAAUACAGUAAUUAGGAUGUUUAUACAUUUAUGAGGAGUUCGAAAGUGCGGUGUAUUUCAUUGCUCUUUACGAAUCAUAUAUAAAUCAUACUUAUUAAGACCAUAGAUUGAAAAGUGAAAACAAAAGCGAUGAUGUUAUUAACAUAUUCUGUGAAAUUUACUUUAGAAUUUACAAAUAAAACCUUGUUUUAACGUUGGCCCUCAAUGUUAAAUGUUAAAGAAACACUAUCACACAACCGGAAACAAAGCAAAAUAUUUCCAACAAAUAAAAUUUAUUUUUUUGAGAUUACUAACACCAAUGGCCGAAUAUGUUUUAAGUUUCGAAUAUAAUAUAAAAGACACAACUAAAGCAAAUCCUAUAAUCAAUAUCAUAUAAUCAAAUGAUAAUCAAAUCAAUGUCAGUGUUUCUCUUUGGAGGAAGAAUGCAAACUCAUCUUUAAAGACAAAGAUACCGAUUUCAAGAGAUAUUUAUCGUACUAUCCGGAUGUAGAAGCAACAUUGAAUUUUUUAUUUUUCUUGAUAAUUUUCAUUCUCAAAGGAAUCCAGACGUAGCAACGUCUGCGC